GGUGAAAUGGCCGAGUGGUCUAAGGCGCCAGAAUUAGGUAUAGACUUGAAUCUGGUCUCUUCGGAGGCGGGAGUUCGAACCUCCCUUUCAUCA